UACGUAGGUGGCAAGCGUUAUCCGGAAUUACUGGGCGUAAAGCGCACGCAGGCGGUCUUUUAAGUUUGACGUGAAAGCUCCCGGCUUAACUGGGAGAGGUCGUUGAAUACUGAAAGACUUGAGGCAAUGAGAGGGGUGUAGAAUUCCCGGUGUAGUGGUGGAAUGCGUAGAUAUCGGGGGGAAUACCAGUGGCGAAAGCGGCACCCUAGCGUUAGCCUGACGCUCAUGUGCGAAAGCGUGGGGAGCGAACGGG
rnacentral:rRNA from 1 species